ACCUGGCUGGCUCAGUUGGUAGAGCAUGUGACUCUUGAUCUCAGAGUUGUGGGUUUGAGCCCCACGUUGGGUA